rnacentral:antisense_RNA from 1 species
UGUUAUGGGCGGGCUGUGUGGGAGGGGUAAUGCCCUGCCGGUUCCUUGUCUCCGGUUCGCUAACCCGCACAGUCCCGCCCACCCUG